rnacentral:misc_RNA from 1 species
CCGAGUUUACAACUCCCAAACCCCUGUGAACAUACCACUUGUUGACCUCGGCGGAUCAGCCCGCUCCCGGUAAAACGGGACGGCCCGCCAGAGGACCCCUAAACUCUGUUUCUAUAUGUAGCUUCUGAGUAAACCAUAAAUAAAUCA